rnacentral:rRNA from 1 species
AGCGAACGCUGGCGGCAGGCCUAACACAUGCAAGUCGAACGGCAGCACAGGAGAGCUUGCUCUCUGGGUGGCGAGUGGCGGACGGGUGAGGAAUACAUCGGAAUCUACCUUUUCGUGGGGGAUAACGUAGGGAAACUUACGCUAAUACCGCAUACGACCUACGGGUGAAAGUGGGGGACCGCAAGGCCUCACGCGAUUAGAUGAGCCGAUGUCCGAUUAGCUAGUUGGCGGGGUAAUGGCCCACGAAGGCCACGAUCGGUAGCUGGUCUGAGAGGAUGAUCAGCCACACUGGAACUGAGACACGGUCCAGACUCCUACGGGAGGCAGCAGUGGGGAAUAUUGGACAAUGGGCGCAAGCCUGAUCCAGCCAUACCGCGUGGGUGAAGAAGGCCUUCGGGUUGUAAAGCCCUUUUGUUGGGAAAGAAAUCCUGUCGAUUAAUACUCGGUGGGGAUGACGGUACCCAAAGAAUAAGCACCGGCUAACUUCGUGCCAGCAGCCGCCGUAAAAC